rnacentral:tRNA from 1 species
GGGGAUUUAGCUCAGUGGCAAAAGUGCCUGCCUUGCAAGCAGGCAGUCUUGAGUUCGAUCCCCG